UACGUAGGGUGCAAGCGUUUGUCCGGAAUUAUUGGGCGUAAAGAGCUCGUAGGCGGCUUGUUGCGUCGACCGUGAAAACCCGUGGCUCAACUGCGGGCUUGCGGUCGAUACGGGCGGGCUAGAGUUCGGUAGGGGAGAAGUGGAAUUCCCGGUGUGAGCGGUGAAAUGCGCAGAUAUCGGGAGGAACACCGGUGGCGAAGGCGGUUCUCUGGGCCUUACCUGACGCUGAGGAGCGAAAGCGUGGGGAGC
rnacentral:rRNA from 1 species